rnacentral:rRNA from 1 species
UACGUAGGGUGCAAGCGUUGUCCGGAAUUAUUGGGCGUAAAGAGCUCGUAGGCGGUUUGUCGCGUCUGCUGUGAAAACUCGGGGCUUAACCCCGGGCCUGCAGUGGGUACGGGCAGACUAGAGUGCGGUAGGGGAGACUGGAAUUCCUGGUGUAGCGGUGAAAUGCGCAGAUAUCAGGAGGAACACCGGUGGCGAAGGCGGGUCUCUGGGACGGUACUGACGCUGGGACGCGAAAGCGUGGGGAGCGAACAGG